rnacentral:lncRNA from 1 species
UCAAGGACCUGCAAUUUUUAGAAGUUUCUGGGAUUGCUGCAUUGUUGCCUGAUUUCUUUGCCACCAUUCGGUAAAUUAUUUUGUUGGGGUUAUUAUGUUUUUAAUUUAUGCUUGGUGGCUUGGAUUAUUGGUCUGUAAUAGUUUUGGUGUGCUGGUUGUUAACUGUGGUUUUUGAAGAGGGAAGUUGUUAUUUGUUGGCUCUUUGCUGACCAUGUGGGGGUCUGGUGUAGAUUGCUUUUAUUUGUAGAUUAGUUGUGUUCGGAAGUGGCAUUGUCUUUGUGGUUUCAAAUUCCUAGUCAGGUUUGAUGCUUGACGAAUUCUGUUAUGAGUGUUGCUGUGAAGGAGUAUUUUUAUUUCUUGGCAGGGAGUUUUUUGUUGCUUUAGAGGUUUGGUAUAUAGGUUAUUCUCAGUGUUGCUAUGGCUGGGUUGUUCUGGGUCUCGUGUUCUUGUUGCUGCUGUGAUUGGGUUGUGCAGAUCGAGAUAUUUUUGGCUGAUUUUAGGAGAAUUUUAAUUUUCAGUCAUAUUGAUUAUUUGUUUGCUUUGACAGUUGCAGUUUCGACAAGCCAGGGGCGUUGUUGCUUGGGUGUUUCUAGUUAUGUGUAUUUUCUACAUGUUGUGUUUUUUCAUUGGAGUUAACCGUGGGUUUCAGGUAGAAUGCUAGUGUGCGUCCAGGGUGUUUUAGUGAAUUGUUUUUUAUCACACAGCUUGUUUUCAGUUCUUUAUUGUUGGGCUGGUGUAUGUUCUGCGGGUGGGAGUUUUAUUGUCUUGUCUUGGGAGACUUGCUUGCUGUGCUUAGUAGUCGUUUAUUUAAAGUAUUUCAGCUUCUUUUGUCUCGCAUGGGGGCCUGAUUUUGAGGGUUUUAAUGUUAAUCAAUUCUUCUGCUCCAUUUUAUGCUUCCGAGGCUGCUGUUAUUUUAUUGGUUCGGGUUCAGGAGUUGGCGUUUUAUUUGUAAAUCAAUAUAUCAGGUUCAUAACUUGGGUGGUAGCUCUCUUGAUUGAUUUAGAGGUGGAGCAGCUGUGUGGGAGGUCUGGCACUCAUAAAUCAUAAUCAGUGGAGUGAUUGCUUUUUAUCUAUAGGGAGGUGUUCACUUGUGUUCAUUAGGUUGGAUUUUUUUUUCUUUUCUCCGUUGGAGGCUUUGUAUUUUCAAUUUUUAGUUCUGUUUUGGUAUUGCCUCUUUGAGUGUUGUUCUUGGGGGGAUUUUUUUUAAGUGGACUCUUUGUAUAUUUUUUCUUUUUAUGUUAUAAAGUCAAUAUGAUGUGCCGUCCUCAUUUACCCAAAAAAAUAAUUACGGUUUUAGCUCCAAAUAUUUGAAAAACAAAGGAAACUAUUUUAAAUUAACAAGAUUGAUUAGUGUGUGUGUGUGUGAGAGAG